rnacentral:tRNA from 1 species
GGGGUUGUGGCUCAGUGGUAGAGCACUCACCUAGCAUGUGCAAGGCCCUGGGUUCGAUCCUCAGCACCCCA